UGCAGUCGACGGUAGAGCAGCAAUGCUUGAGAGUGGCGAACGGGUGAGUAAUAUAUCGGAACGUGCCCAGUCGUGGGGGAUAACGUAGAGAAAUUUACGCUAAUACCGCAUACGAUCUAAGGAUGAAAGCGGGGGACCGUAAGGCCUCGCGCGAUUGGAGCGGCUGAUAUCAGAUUAGGUUGUUGGUGAGGUAAAAGCUCACCAAGCCGACGAUCUGUAGCUGGUUUGAGAGAACGACCAGCCACACUGGGACUGAGACACGGCCCAGACUCCUACGGGAGGCAGCAGUGGGGAAUUUUGGACAAUGGGCGAAAGCCUGAUCCAGCAAUGCCGCGUGCAGGAAGAAGGCCUUCGGGUUGUAAACUGCUUUUGUACGGAACGAAAAGGUCUGCCCUAAUACGGCGGGCCCAUGACGGUACCGUAAGAAUAAGCACCGGCUAACUACGUGCCAGCAGCCGCGGUAAUACGUAGGGUGCGAGCGUUAAUCGGAAUUACUGGGCGUAAAGCGUGCGCAGGCGGUGAUGUAAGACAGUUGUGAAAUCCCCGGGCUCAACCUGGGAAUUGCAUCUGGGACUGCAUCGCUAGAGUACGGUAGAGGGGGAUGGAAUUCCGCGUGUAGCAGUGAAAUGCGUAGAUAUGCGGAGGAACACCGAUGGCGAAGGCAAUCCCCUGGACCUGUACUGACGCUCAUGCACGAAAGCGUGGGGAG
rnacentral:rRNA from 1 species